AUGCCAAGGACAGGUUAUUGCAGCACGUUCUAAAGCCAACGCCAAGAAGUGGUAGCUAAGAACAAAACAUUCGAAAUGAUCGUGCAAAGCAGAUGAUCGCAUGAUGUGCGAAUCUGAAAACGUGUCCGAGUGAGAUAAAAAAUAAAAGAAUUUUGCCAACGACAGUAAAAAGUACACAAAAUCGUUAUACGGAUUCCAAAAACUGGUUAUUGUAUGUAUAUGCCAUGUCCUAUGUUCGCCAUCGGGUGUGCUAAUAUUUAAAGCUGAUAAUGAAACAUAAAAAAGUAACAUCGUUUCAAAGUUCGACAGCAAGUGCGAGCCUUUAGGACCAUAAUAUCGAUAUGGUUAUUUUUAAGUGUUUCAUAUUCUCUUUAAGGACUAUUUACUGAUCUAGUGAAAGGGAACGUGUUUGUUUUUUGUAUCACAUAUUUGUUAUCAAACUAAAUUAUUUUUUCACGAGAAGUGUCUUUAGGUACAGUUCACGAUCGGUAAUACACACAUUUUUAAACGGCACGUUUGACAACAAAAUUUAUUAGACCAGUGAUCGGUGAAAAGUAGUGAAAUAUGAUUUAAAAGAGAAAUAUCUUUCUUUUUUUCAUAGCAAUUUUUAUACCACAUAAUCCGUACUCGAUUCAGCGCGGAUUGCCGAGCGUGAACUGUAUAUUGUAUUCCUCAUCGAUUUAAACUAUAUAGAAGCAAACAUGCAAAAGUAGAUUAUAUGAGUACGAUACGUACUCAACAGUACUCGAUGAAAAUUAGAUGUCGGCGGGGGAAGACAAAUGACUAUGUUAUAGGUCUUAUUUUGUAGAAUAAUUAUGUGCUAGGUUUUGUUAAUGAGUCCGUUCAAAUGUCCGUUCAUUUGAUAUUUCAUGCCUUAAAUUUUGAUAGUUCUGUAGUAUAGUCGCCAUCUGGCUCGGCGAAACAAACAUGCCCGUCAUAGGUGCAAGCCCCGUAUGCCCCGUCAUAGGUGCAAGCCAGAUAUCCGUAAUCCAUAAGUCACUGAUAGUCAAGCCCCUUAGUGGUACAAGCUGGCCUUGAUCGACAACGGUAGUUGCCUCAAGGAAUCAGAUCAUUAAACAUUUCUCUUUCAUUUCCACUCAAUCACUACAAGGACCCUUACCUUAACCAUUUUCUAGCGAUAUUCAAUAUAUUUUCGACUUCUACUAUUUUGUAAUAUUAUGAUAAAUGGAUAAAUAUACGACACGAAUCACUUUCAAAUUACUACAUUGACUAUCUUGCGCAUCAAGCUUAAGAUAUGUAAUUAAACAUUUAACAAUUAAAUAAUUUAGAUUUAAAGUAAUCUGUACAUUUGUUUACUUGACAUCUAUCUUUUCCGAAUUUUGUUGUACGUUGUGUUUAGGGAGUCGGAGCCUUACUUAAUAAUGAUGAAUACAUUGCUUCAAAUGAGUCGGUUGCAACUUUA